UUCCACAAGUGGCUUUGCUACUGAGCCCAGCGGAACCAUUUCUACUGGCAGGAUAUUGGGCAAAGGCAGGUUAUUGGUGCUGUAAAAACAGUCACUUCGGGCAGAUGGGACUUAUCAGCCAUGGUUGGCAGCUUAUCUAGAGGGAGAACUCUGAUCUCAAACCUCUGCUGCCUUGUGGCUGCUCUGGCUUCUAUAUCUAGGCAGCUGGGAUGCAACAUCCAUGGUUUGCCCUGAUCAACAGAGAUGGGAAAACUACUAACAUCAACAGAAAGUUAGCCGACUAGCAGAAGGCAAAAUGUGGGAAUAACGGGGGCCUUUGCUGGUUGACUGCUGAUGAACAAUGGAGUCCGCGGGGUUGUGUUUUGAUCUGUUACUUUUAACGUUAUAUGUUAAUGAUGUGGAUUAUGGGAUCGAUGGCUGAUACAAAGAUAGGUGGAGGGCAGGUAGCUUUGAGGAAGCAGGAAGUCUGCAGAAGAGCUUGGACGGAUUCAGAGUAUGGGCAAAGAAGUGGCAGAAGGAAUACUGUGUAGGGAUGUGUAUGGUCAUGCACUUUGGUAGAAGGAAUAAAGGCAUAGACUAUUUUUAUAUAGAGAGAGAAUUGAUAAACCCGAGGUGUAAAGGGGCUUUGAAGUCCUAGUGCAGGACUCCCUAAAGGUUAAUUUGCAGGUUAAAUUGCUUUACUCCUUCUGGUGAACGUACUCCCACAGUGUUGUUGGGUAGGGAGCAUCAGGAUUUAAACCCCAGCAAUAAUAAAAGACCAGUAACAUAUAGAUAUUUCCGAGUUGGGAUGGUGUGUGGUUACAGGGGAACCUGUAGGUGGUAGUGUUCCCAUGCAUCUAUCCCCUUGUUCUGCAGAUGCAUGAAAUCUUGAGUAACACUCACAAAAUGCUGGAGAAACUCAGCAGGUCAAGCAGCAUCUAUAGAGAGAAAUAAUGGAGGGUCCCAGCCCAAACUGUCAACUGUUUAUUUCCCUCUAUAGAUGCUGAAUGACCCACUGAGCACCUUCAGCAUUUUAUGUGUAUUAUCCUACUUUCCUUCUUGGGGAUAGAGAUCAUGGUCUUUGGAGAUGCUUGUCUGAGAUGUCUCAGUGGACUUUGCAUAUAGUACAUACUGCAGCCAACCUGCUCUGUUAUAGGAUGGAAUGCAUGUUUAGACUGUUGGGUGUGGUGGAGACAGAUGGUCUGCUUUAUCCGGGAUAGUAUUCAGUUUUUGGUGUUUUUUAUUUGGAACUGUGGUCAUCAAGGCAAAUGGUGAGUUCCAUCACUCUUGAUUUGUGCCUUGUGGAUAGUGGGAAGUCCUCGCAGUGUCAUAAGACACCAAGUCAUGUAGCCACGGUAUUAACAUGAUAUUCCAAUUGAGUUUUUGAUUAAUGGUGACCUCUGAAGAUUGGGCAAUUUAAUAGCAAUGGCAAUGAAUGCUCGGAUGUGUGGCUAGGUUCACCUUUUCUUGAAGGUGGUUAUCGGUUGACAUCACCUUGUGCUAUCAUUUUAUCAGCCAAUGUCUGAAUGUUGUCUAGAUCUUGCUGUAUGCAGGUGUGAGUGGUUUCAUUAGCCAAGGACUCUCAAAUGAGCAAUGUGCUAUUAUCAAUGUGUACCUUUUAUUCAUACCCUGAUGAAAGAGCUGAGUAUGUUUGGGCUGAGGACAGUGUCUUGAGGAAUUCCUACAGUGAUGUCUGGGGCUGGAAUGACUGACUUCCAAUACCCAUAAUCACCUGUUUUUAUGCAUGGUUUGACUUUAGACAUCAGAGUGUUUCCCAUUUGCUUCCAUUUUACUGGGAUCCCUGGAUGGCACAACUUCUAUAGAUGUACCUUGGAGAGCAUUCUGAUAGGCUGCAUCACUGUCUGGAAUGGGGGGUGGGGUGCGCUACUACACAGGUCUGAAAGAAUCUGCAGAGAGUUGUAAACCUAGUCAGCUCCAUCUUGGCUACUAGCCUACAAAGUACCCAGGACAUCUUCAUGAAGCGGUGCCUCAGAAAGGCAGCGUCCAUUAUUAAGGACCUCCAGCAGCCAGGUAUUCCCUUUACCGACUGUUAUCAUCAGGUAGGAGGUACAGAAGCCUGAAGGCACACACUCAGUGAUUCAGGAACAGCUUCUUCCCCUCUGCCAUCUGAUUCACAAAUGGACAUUGAAUCCUUGGGUACCACCUCACUUUUUUUAAUAUACAGUAUUUCUGUUUUCUGCAUGUUUUUUUAAAAACUAUUCAAUAUACAUAUAUUGUAAUUGAUUUACUUGUUUAUUUAUUUAUUAUUUUAAUUUUAUUUACUAUUUUUUUUCUCUUCUGGAUUAUGCACUGCAUUGAACUGCUGCUGCUAAGUUAACAAAUUUCAUGUUACAUGCCAGUGAUAAUAAACCUGAUUCUGAUUCCAGCAAAUGCUGCCUUAACAUCAAGACAUUCUCUUUCACCACACCUCUGGUGUUCGUAUAAUCUACAUUUGGGCCUGAGGUUUAGUACCGGAUGGUCCCAGUGAAACUCAAAGGCGAGUUAGUUACAGGAUGAUCUGGAGCUCAAGCAGCAGAACACUAAGAUCAGCCAAAUAACUGAAGGAACAAAUGGAGAUGGGCUCACUUGCCUGGAGCCCUUCUGCCCUUCAGCAUCUUCUGCUACUCUGGAGCACCAGCUUUGGAUAAAAUAUGCCACACCUUCCCUUACAUCAUUAUGUGUGCACUGGUCACACUAGAAUUGAAUUACCCAGGGAUAUCAGGUGAGAGACCUCUUGGUGAGCAAGCGUUUCCAAGGCUGUGACCAUAACUCCUGACCUUUAACAUAGCUAUAGUCAAGGAGAGGAGCAGGCAAUGUGGGAAAGUAUUUAAUAGUGAGAGGGCUAAUUAUGAUGACAUUAGGCUGCGACUUGGGAGUGUAAAUUGGGGACAGAUGUUCCCAAGGAAAUGUGCAGCAGGAAUGUGGAAGUAGUUAAGGAAACAUUUGCAUGGGGUUCAGGAUAGGAAAGGGAUGGUAGGGUAAAGGAACCAUGGUUAAUGAGAGAGAGUAGAAUAUUUAGUCAAAAGGCAGAAAAAAAGCAUACUAAAGGUUUAGGAAAAAAUUCAUUCAGGGUUUCUUGAGAGUUAUUAGAUAGCCAUGAAGGUGCUUAGGAAGGGAUUUAGGAGAGUUAGAAGGGGACGUGAAAAGGCCUUGGCCUGUAGGAUUACAGGAACCCCCAAGGCAUCCUACAUAGAUGUGAUAAAAAGGAGGAUGACUAGGGAGAGCAUAUGCCCGUUAAGGGAUAAAGGGAGAAAUGUGUCUGGAGUUGGAGGAGGUAGGAAAGGUCCUUAAUGAAUACUUUGUCCAGUGUUCGUCAGGGAAAGAAUCAGAUACAGGUUCAAUAUCACUAGCAUAUGUCAUGAAAUUUGUUAUUUUACAGCAGCAAAACAUACUAAUAAAACUGUGAGUUACAGCAAGAGGUGUGUGUGUGUGUGUGUGUGUGUGUAUUUAUUUAUUGAUCUAUCUAUUUAUUUAUUUAUUGAAUUCUAUUAAACAAGUAGUGCAAUGAGAAAGGCCCAUUCAGAAAUCUGAUGAUGGAAGGGAAGAAGCUGUUCCUGAAACACUGAGUGUGUGUCUUCAGGCUCCUGUACCUCUUCCUUGUGGUAGCAAUCCGAGGCACAUCUUGGGAGAUGGGGCUCCUUACUGAUGGAUGGUGCCUUUUCAAAAAUGAAUCCCCGAUAUUGUCCAGUGCAACAAGUCAAAGUAGUCCUAUAAGUACUCCUUGACCUUACGUUCCUGAUCCUCACCACUGUUGCAGUGGUCUUUAGUCUCUGCCUAUACGCUGGGAGAAAAAGUCCAGCCAGCUGAUCAGAUUUCCCAAAAUGUGGGCAUGGGUUGGCACAAUGAGUGUCUUUGAUGGUGA